ensembl:lncRNA
GUAAUGUAUGUGUUUGGUGUGGAGAGGUAAUGUGUGGAUAGGUCACGUGUGGAGAGGUAAUGUAUGUGUUUGGGCAAUGUGUGGAGAGGUAAUGUGUGGAGAAGUAAUGUUGUUUGUUUGGGUAAUGUGUGGAGAGGUAAUAAAUGUAUGUGGGUAAUGUGCGGAGAGGUAUUGUGUGUGUUUGGUGUGGAGAGGUAAUGGUUGUGUGGAGAGGUAAUGUGUGUGUCUGGGUAACGUUUGGAGAGGUAAUGUGUGUGUUUGGGUAAUGUGUGGAGAGGUAAUAAAUGUGUUUGGGCAAUGUUUGGAGAGGUAAUGUAUGUGUUUGGGUAAUGUGUGGAGAGGUAAUGUAUGUGUUUGGGUAAUGUGUGGAGAGGUAAUGUGUGGAGAGGUAAUGUAUGUGUGUGGGUAAUGUAGGCAAUGUUUGUGUGGAGAGGUAAUGUAUGUGUCUGGGUAAUGUGUGGAGAGGUAAUGUAUAAUGUGUAUAAUGUGUGGAGAGGUAAUGUAGGAAAGUGUUUAGAGAGAGGGAGGACUGCAAGGAAAUGGUUUAGAGAGAGGGAGGACUGACAGGAAAUGGUUUAGAGAGAGAGAGGGAGGACUGACAGGAAAUGGUUUAGAGAGAGGGAGGACUGACAGGAAAUGGUUUAGAGAGAGGGAGGACUGACAGGAAAUGGUUUAGAGAGAGGGAAG